rnacentral:rRNA from 1 species
CUUGUAUGAAUGGCCACACGAGGGUUUUACUGUCUCUUACUCUUAAUCAGUGAAAUUGACCUCCCCGUGAAGAGGCGGGGAUAACACAAUAAGACGAGAAGACCCUAUGGAGCUUUAAUUAAUCAACUCAAAAAGCAUAAAAGAAUACCACUAAGGGAUAACAAAGCUUUAUAUGAGCUGACAAUUUCGGUUGGGGUGACCUCGGAGUAUAAAAAACCCUCCGAGUGAUUAAAACUUAGGCCUACUAGCCAAAGUAUAGUAUCACUUAUUGAUCCAAAAUUUUGAUCAACGGAACAAGUUACCCUAGGGAUAACAGCGCAAUCCUAUUCUAGAGUCCAUAUCGACAAUAGGGUUUACGACCUCGAUGUUGGAUCAGGACAUCCUAAUGGUGCAGCAGCUAUUAAGGGUUCGUUUGUUCAACGAUUAAAGUCCUACGUGAUCUGAGUUCAGACCGGAGCAAUCCAGGUCGGUUUCUAUCUAUUACGCAUUUCUCCCAGUACGAAAGGACAAGAGAAAUAAGGCCAACUUCAAAAAAGCGCCUUCAAACAAUUAGUGAUCCAGUCUCAACCUAAUAAUCUAGCGCAAACAUACCCUGCCCAAGAUCAGGGCUUU